rnacentral:rRNA from 1 species
CCCUUAGAUGUUCUGGGCCGCACGCGCGCUACACUGACGAAUGCAACGAGCUUAUAACCUUGGCCGAAAGGUCUGGGUAAUCUCCAAAUUUCGUCGUGAUGGGGAUAGAUUAUUGCAAUUAUUAAUCUUCAACGAGGAAUGCCUAGUAAGCGCAAGUCAUCAGCUUGCGUUGAUUACGUCCCUGCCCUUUGUACACACCGCCCGUCGCACCUACCGAUUGAAUGGUCCGGUGAAAUCUCGGGACGGCGGCUUGGUCGCUUGCGUCCGACUGCUGAAACUUGAUUAAACCAUAUCAUUUAGAGGAAGGUGAAGUCGUNACA